rnacentral:ncRNA from 1 species
GCGGUACCGGUUCACGGCCCAGCAAUGCGCCGACCCGGCGACC